AAUGCACUGGUGCUUUACGGAAAAGCAGGUUCCAUUAAUUUCCAUCGGCCAGAGGAAAUGAAUUAAUUUCCACUCCGAGGACCAGCCUGCAGUGUAGUCUUCAGAUCUCAGGAAUAAUCAGGGAACCCAGUUGCUGGAUGUUUAGAUGAAUGAACAAAAUAAGCCUCGCACUUGGUCAGCACAGAUGACAGAAAAACCGCUCGGUGACCGCAUCGCCUCCAGUCUCCUGGUUGCUCAUCAAGGAAGCUCAUAAUCUUCCAGGCAGAGGCGGUGGAAGGAGCCUGGGCAAGGAGACACAUAGAGGAGGAGGGAUUCGCUGCACCUGGGCAGGUCAAGGCCACAGGGAAGAACGUAUGGUGUCUUCAAGGGUGAGCAGGAGCCUGCCAGGUGGAGCAGCAGAAG
rnacentral:lncRNA from 1 species